GAGCCGAUAGCUCAGCUGGUAGAGCACUGCCCUUUUAAGGCAGGUGUCGAGGGUUCGACCCCCUCUCGGCUCA
rnacentral:tRNA from 1 species